rnacentral:rRNA from 1 species
UACGUAGGGUGCGAGCGUUAAUGGGAAUUACUGGGCGUAAAGCGUGCGCAGGCGGUUUUGUAAGCCAGAUGUGGAAGCCCCGGGCUCAACCUGGGAAUGGCAUUUGGGACUGCAAGGCUUGAGUGCGGCAGAGGAGACUGGAAUUCCUGGUGUAGCAGUGAAAUGCGUAGAUAUCAGGAGGAAUACCGAUGGCGAAGGCAGGUCUCUGGGCUGACACUGACGCUCAUGCACGAAAGCGUGGGGAGCAAACAGG